UCAGCACACCUCCUCAUAGCUUUUAAUCUUUCCAGUUCAAUGUCGAACUGUGUCAUUUUAGACGAGAAUGAUAAUUUACAUUUGGACGCUUGCAUAGCUUCCACGAUGGUAUUUUCCAGGCUGCAGGCAAGGCCUUCUUGGCAAGCGUCUUCAACACGUGAUGACCAGUCAGUGCCAAUUACAACACCGGAAGAGAAAGUUUUGCCGAGUCCAUCGAUCUUCACGUAGGUCAAUGAAAAGAAAGCACAGCACCGUUUCAAUCUACAGCUUGAAUGCAAAGAGCAGAAUAAUGAGGAUGAUAGUGGAUGCUGCCAUGACAAGGAUGCACAUCAUUUUAUGAUUCUUCUUCUGAUGUCAUAUAUUCCGCUUCUUUUAGGACUGAAUCCUCUUUGUAAGCCUCCAGGUUUUUGCUCUGUAGGAACUUUGAUGGCUGUGGAUGCACUGUAAAUUUCUUCCAGUAUGUUUAUGUAGGGUUCAUCGAAGCCCUGAUUUCGUAGUGCCUGAAUCACUACAGAUGUUUCGACUGAGUCAAACGCCUUCUUGUAUACUGUGAAGGCUAUGUAUAAAGGUUGGUUCUAUUCUGCGCAUUUCUCUGUCACCUGAUUGAUAGUAUGAAUAUAUAGCCUGUACGAAAUCC